rnacentral:rRNA from 1 species
UGCGAGUCAUUGUAGCAAUACAAGGCAGACGGCUCAGUAACGCGUAGUCAAUCUACCCUAUGGACGGGAAUAACCUCGGGAAACUGAGAAUAAUGCCCGACAGAACAUUAUACCUGGAACGGUUUAUGUUUCAAAUGAUUUAUCGCCGUAGGAUGGGACUGCGGCCUAUCAGUUUGUUGGUGAGGUAAUGGCCCACCAAGACUAUUACAGGUACGGGCUCUGAGAGGAGUAGCCCGGAGAUGGGUACUGAGACACGGACCCAGGCCCUAUGGGGCGCAGCAGGCGAGAAAACUUUGCAAUGUGCGAAAGCACGACAAGGUUAAUCCGAGUGGUUUCUGCUAAAGAAACCUUUUGCUAGUCCUAGAAACACUAGUGAAUAAGGGGUGGGCAAGUUCUGGUGUCAGCCGCCGCGGUAAAAUCAGCACCUCAAGUGGUCAGGAUGAUUAUUGGGCCUAAAGCAUCCGUAGCUCGUUUUGUAAGUUUUCGGUUAAAUCCAUACGCUUAACGUAUGGGCUGCCGGGAAUACUGCAUAACUAGGAAGUGGGAGAGGUAGACGGUACUCGGUAGGAAGGGGUAAAAUCCUUUGAUCUAUUGAUGACCACCUGUGGCGAAGGCGGUCUACCAGAACACGUUCGACGGUGAGGGAUGAAAGCUGGGGGAGCAAACCGGAUUAGAUACCCGGGUAGUCCCAGCUGUAAACUAUGCAAACUCAGUGAUGCAUUGGCUUGUGGCCAAUGCAGUGCUGCAGGGAAGCCGUUAAGUUUGCCGCCUGGGAAGUACGUACGCAAGUAUGAAACUUAAAGGAAUUGGCGGGGGAGCACCACAAGGGGUGAAGCCUGCGGU